rnacentral:rRNA from 1 species
AUUGAACGCUGGCGGCAUGCCUUACACAUGCAAGUCGAACGGCAGCGGGGGAGAAGCUUGCUUUUCCUGCCGGCGAGUGGCGAACGGGUGAGUAAUACAUCGGAACGUGCCCUGUAGUGGGGGAUAACUAGUCGAAAGAUUAGCUAAUACCGCAUACGACCUGAGGGUGAAAGUGGGGGACCGCAAGGCCUCAUGCUAUAGGAGCGGCCGAUGUCUGAUUAGUUAGUUGGUGGGGUAAUGGCCUACCAAGGCGACGAUCAGUAGCUGGUCUGAGAGGACGAUCAGCCACACUGGGACUGAGACGCGGCCCAGACUCCUACGGGAGGCAGCAGUGGGGAAUUUUGGACAAUGGGCGGAAGCCUGAUCCAGCAAUGCCGCGUGUGUGAAGAAGGCCUUCGGGUUGUAAAGCACUUUUGUCCGGAAAGAAAUGGCUCUGGUUAAUACCUGGGGUCGAUGACGGUACCGGAAGAAUAAGGACCGGCUAACUACGUGCCAGCCGCCGCAGUAA